rnacentral:lncRNA from 1 species
UCAAUAGAUAUAGGAAGAUGUGGUGUGAGUGUCAAUGAGACAACUCUCCACCCAAAUAACAAUUUAUAAAAGUAAACCAUUAUAGGUCAAUGUACGGCCUUCAACACGAAGCCUUGGCUCACACCGAACAACAAGCUAUAAAAGGCCCCAAAAUUACUAGUGUAAAACCAUUCAAACAGGAAAACCAACGGUCUUAUCUAUAUAAAAAACGAGAAACGAGAAACACGUAUAAAUAACAUAAACAAACGAC